rnacentral:rRNA from 1 species
UAUCAACUGUUUAAAAGAUGGGUUCUGCUAUCACUCUUGGGAUGGGACCCUGCGGUGCAUUAGCUAGUUGGUAGGGUAACGGGCUACCAAGGCGAUGAUGCAUAGCCCGAGUUGAGAGACUGAUCGGGCCACAUUGGGGACUGAGACACGGGCCCAAAACUCCUACGGGGAGGCAGCAGUAGGGAAUCUUCCACAAUGGACGCAAGUCUGAUGGAGCAACGCCGCGUGAGUGAAGUAAGGGUUUCGGCUACGUAAAGCUCUGUUGUUGGUGAAGAAGGACAGGGUAGUAACUGACCUUUGUUUGACGGUAAUCAAUUAGAAAGUCACGGCUAACUACGUGCCAGCAGCCGCGUAAU